UUUCCUGUUACAGAACAUAAGGUCAUAUUAAUCUUUAUAACUGACAUAACAUAUUUAUCGUAGUAACAACUGAGUUAUAUGAAAGAUAAGUUCAGUGUAGUUGUGGCCAGACACAUUUAAAAUGAGUAAACCUUAACAUAUUUUUAAUGAACAGAUAUAUCUACAUGUUAAAAUAAAGGUUUCAGGGUGCAUUUUAGGGAUGCUGAUUCUUUUGAUUCUUUAUAUCGGAAAUAUUGGGUGCAUCUAUGUUAGUGUUGAUGAUUAGCUAGUGGUAAAUGAAGGAAAACAUAGAUUGAAUACAUAAAAUUGUAAAAGAGAUUUUAUAGAAACCUAGAAAUCCUAGAACUGACUUUAAAAUGCAAAUGUAGAUGACCAUAGAACCAAACUGCUUGAGUCCAGUUUGAACUGGGAGUAUCUGUGGAAUAUUUUUUUAGAGAUGCAGCUGUGCUUUCAUUCUGUGGAAUUAAAUGAUUCAUUAAUAAAGAACAGAAGUCAUCUGCUGUCAGGCAUGAGCUGAUGUCUCUUCUGUGUGGUCCUUGAAACACUGCAAACAUAAUAAAUAAGUUUUACUGAUCUUAGAAAAAAGAAGAGAAGAAGGGAGAAAGACAUGUCUAUUUGUCAUCUAAUUAAAAAAAGAUAUUGUUUGCAAAAGGAGCAAGAUGCCAGAUUUCAAAAGGUAUUCUAGAAUGAAAACGUUUAGGUAGUAAUGAUUUUCAUUUAACCUGAAUUUUAACCAACUACAUGGUUGGUUAAAGUCGGAUGGUUUGCUGCAGAAAAUCAGCUUCUGUAUUAAAAAUCUUUGUAUGGAGACAAUUAAGCUGCCUGUCUAACUCACUGCUGGAACAGCUGAUCAAUUAUGCCAACACUGUGGAAAAAUUUUCAUUAUGAAGAACUGGGAGGGAUUCAAUGCCUUGCUCAAGUCACAUAGGCUCUCUGAUAUAUCCAAAAACUUACUUCAGAUCUCUCUGCUGUUUGAACUGCAUGGUCAUGCUUUCUCUAAAAAAAAUUUCAGACUAAUUUUCUCUUUGCUAACAAGAUUAUGGCAAACUAGUAGUCAAGUUAACCAAAGAGAAACAAGAAGAGCUUGUUAGUGUAAUUUAGCUGAGGAUCCCCUGAAUGAUUUAAUCAAACAAGCAGCCCGAUGCCUGAAUUACUCAUGAAUGCAGCACAGCUUCUCAGUACUCGCUUGGAGCGUUCCUCUGUUUUCUCAUGUCUCACGACCAACGUUUGUUCUUGCAAAAAGGCAGUGCAGCUUGACCAUCGGGUGGCAUUUUGAUACAGGCUUCACUACGUGAGUUGUCUCUGCUCUUCCCCAGCCCCCCUUUUUUUUCUCUCUACAAAGCUUCAGUUCUUCAGCACAGAGAGUUCAUGGAUGGAUUUCUUUGUCCAAUUUUAUAUCAGUAACUUAGUGUUGAUUGCAUCCAGCCUCGGUAUGCGGAGAAGUACUCUUUUCAGUGUUUGCAUUAGCUCUUUUUACAAGUGUGCUAGAAAGAAAUCAUAAUACUGAGCUGCCACAAAGACAUCAGGUAUCUCACGUUCUAAUUUGCUUUGUGGGUAUGUUUUGAAUAAGCACCUCAAAGAAGGUUCUUGCCUGAAAUGCAUCGGGCAAGGAGGGGUAGCUUCCUCCCUCCAGGGGAGGGAUCCAUGGGCAGAAUCCCUGGUCUGUAUAAACUUGCAGUGUUUCGCUGUGCUGAUUUAUACUGACUGUGAAUCUGGCCCUUAAGUAUCUUUGGUGAGCACAGCUGAAAGAAGAAAAACUGUCAGUCAAAAGACUGUUAAAUAUUAAACUUGACAACAGUUUAUCUGCUAGCUUUUUUUUUUCCUCUAACUGUUUUACUCACAUCUGAAAGGACAAUACAUCGUAAAAUAAUAAUCCAUUCAUCGCUGUCUCAACAGCCACUCGAAGGGAAAAGCGGUGUUUUUACAGUGUACAAGGUAUGCGGUGCCUUAGCUAUCUGGGAACGCGCAUGACAUUCCUUCUGCCCGGUAUCUGCAUGUGCUUCACUAUUAUUUCAGGAGAAUAUUGGCACAGUCAAAGACUGCAGCCAAGGACUACUCGGAGUCCAGAGGCCAGCAGGUAAGUGGCUUGUGUUUAAAUAUGCCUCUCAGACCGGAGAAGCAGAAAGAGGCAGACGUGACACUAGGAAUGGUGAACGGUUUCAGAUCUCUUGUUCAGCGCUGUACUGCAGGACUGAGCAUCUGGAUGACGUUAAGAGUGUAGCAAUGAUUUUUAAAGUGCUUUCUAUAGAUGACCUUGUGAAUUUAGUUCCAGGAGAUGAGGCAAUACUUUAAGCAGUAUCCAUAUAAAUUAGACCAAAAAUAUUCUAAAGGUAAUUUACUUCCUCCAAGAUUUUUUUUUUUUUGGAGGGGGGGAUAGCUAAAUUGUGAAGAGAAGUUUUUCUGCCAAAACAAUAUUUUUUGUGUUCUUACAGUAUAAAAAGUAGCUAUUUCUCACAAUCUUGAAUUGACAUUAUGGACAUCAUUUCAAAAGCAGCUACUUCUGCUUAUUCACUAAUGGCAACUCACUAGACUUGAUCCCCUGUUUGUCCUGCUUCUGUUUCACACAGCGACUGAAAAUUGGAAGUAUCAGUAUUUUGCUUGAUUGUGUAACAGCCACAAUUAACUUGAGCUGUUAGGCUGAAAGGCUUUUUGGCCGUUUCAGGUCUGUCACUCUUUGGUGGUGACGGUACUAGAGGUCUGGUAUUCUGCUCUCCACUCUACGUGGGAUCUGAAGGGGAAGGCAUGUAGCAGCAUGACUUGCAGCGGUGCAGCAGGCUGCUUUCACAUGCAGGGACAGGGCGGGCAGGUACAGCUGUACCGUCAGAAUGAAAAAUGGAAACGUGUUCUUGAAAAGCCUUUUCUUCGUCUGCCUUCUGCUAGUGGGAGGUGGCAUAAGCUGGUGAGUUGCUAGAUGAGAAGAAUUCUUUCCUUUUUUUUUUUUUCCCCUUGAAGAACCAUUUAAUUAAGAAACUGAAGAGUAGUUAUACUUGAAAAUUUUUAUCUUGACCAAUGUGAAAUAUGCAAAAUGUUGUAAGGACUGCAAGAAAAGAAACAGUGAAACCAUUGGUGUUAAAGACAAAGGUAACAGCACUAAUUUAGAUUUCCUAUAAAACUGAUUUUAGAAAGAAUUAAUAUUUCCUAUUCCCCUGAAAUGGAAAGUAAAUAGCCAGCAAGAUGGGAAAGAGAAGAAAGGAAAGCUUAAAUAAUUUGAAUGCAGUUAAUAAACUGCCCACAUUUAGAAGAGUUGAUCUCACCUAAGUGAUUCAAUGUUCAGACUUAGUCGAAACUAAAACUUGGUCAAAACUCUGCUGUCGCAAUAUUUAUGCACACUGUCAUGGCAGCUCAGCACUGUCUCACCCCUUUUUGUUUCUUUGUCUUUUCACAGCCACCUUUCAAAGCAUUGCGUUUCAGCAAUGUUCAUCAUAGUCACAUCCUCCUAGAAAUCACUGGGACAGUGCGACAGUCACAAGAUCACUGCAUGAAGGUGGCACUGCCCUGAGACAUCCUGCCUAUACGGAGAGCCAGUCAGUCACGGCACAGCUAUUUGGGUACAUGAUUGACCCAGCAAAAAUAAGGCACAGAAUCGUUAUCAACACUCCUAUGGUUAAACUCUUAUUAUCUGAAACAAAACACAUUUAGUUACCUGAAAUGUGUUGUGUAUAUGGAGCAGGACAUUGCUGUCCUGCCUGGGUUUCUAACUGCAACACAAGUAAAGUGAACAAACCAUGUAUUAAAAGACUAAUAAACUAGUAUUUCUUUAGCAUGA